UUAAAGUCUAUUUACAAAUAAACAGGCCUCAAAUCCUGAUAAGCCCAAAACCCGUUACACUUGUAACCCAAUCAGCCUAAAACCAUUUACCCGGUAACUACCCAACAGACCUAAACUACUCAGCAGACCCACAAACACCCGUGACCCAAUUAAACUAGCUAGCCCAAAUUCAAAAAGCCCAAUUGGCCCAGCUUGUUACACCAAGGCAGGAAACCCUAGGGUUUCUGCCUUUCUCCUCGCGCCGUAAACAGAAGCUUCCAGAAGCAAUUUCAACGGACGCGUCUGCUCGUCUCUUAUGACAUUUCAGUAACCCUCCAUCAGCGCCGUGAUUCGACCUCCA
rnacentral:lncRNA from 1 species